AAGUCGAACGGCAGCAUGUUGUUUCCUCGGAAACAAUGAUGGCGAGUGGCGGACGGGUGAGUAAUGCGUAGGAAUCUACCCUAAAGAGGGGAAUAACCUAGGGAAACUUAGGCUAAUACCGCAUAAUCUUUACGAAGCAAAGCUGGGGACCUUCGGGCCUGGCGCUUUAGGAUGAGCCUACGUCAGAUUAGCUUGUUGGUGGGGUAAUGGCCUACCAAGGCAACGAUCUGUAGCUGGUCUGAGAGGAUGAUCAGCCACACUGGGACUGAGACACGGCCCAGACUCCUACGGGAGGCAGCAGUGGGGAAUAUUGGACAAUGGGCGAAAGCCUGAUCCAGCAAUGCCGCGUGUGCGAUGAAGGCCUUCGGGUCGUAAAGCACUUUCAGUUGGGAAGAUGGCUCAUUAGUUAAUACCUAGUGAGUUGACGUUACCAUCAAAAGAAGCACCGGCUAACUCUGUGCCAGCAGCCGCGGUAAGACAGAGGGUGCGAGCGUUAAUCGGAAUUACUGGGCGUAAAGAGCACGUAGGUUGGUAUUUAAGUCAGUUGUGAAAGCCUCGAGCUCAACUUGAGAACUGCAUCUGAAACUGGAUACCCUAGAGUUUGGUAGAGGGAAGUGGAAUUUCCCGAAGUAGCGGUGAAAUGCAUAUAUAUCGGA
rnacentral:rRNA from 1 species